rnacentral:rRNA from 1 species
GAAGGUAUUAGAGUAUUGAGAGAAUCGUUCCUUAGUACGAGAGGACCGGGAACGACGCACCCCUGGUGUAUCAGUUCUUAUGCCAAUAGGAUUGCUGAGUAGCUAUGUGCGGAGCGAAUAACUGCUGAAAGCAUAUAAGUAGGAAGUCCAUCUCGAGAUGAGUACUCUGGGGAUGAUAAAUCCCAAAGGUCACGGGAAGACAACCCGGUAGAUAGGUGUUGGAGUCUAAGAUUUGUAAAAAUUGCUUAGCUUACACAUACUAAAUGACCGCAACUUUU